rnacentral:rRNA from 1 species
GACGAACGCUGGCGGCGUGCCUAAUACAUGCAAGUCGAACGCAGUGGGGACGGGUGAGUAACACGUGGGUCACCUCCCAUCAGAGGGGAUAACACUUGGAAACAGGUGCUAAACCGAUACUGAUGGAUGGACCCGCGGUUCAUUAGCUAGUUGGUGAGGUAACGGCUCACCAAGGCCACGAUGCCUAGCCGACCUGAGAGGGUGAUAGGCCACACGGGGACUGAGACACGGCCCAGACUCCUACGGGAGGCAGCAGUAGGGAAUCUUGGGCAAUGGACGAAAGUCUGACAGAGCAACGCCGCGUGAGUGAAGAAGGUUUUCGGAUCGUAAAGCUCUGUUGUGAGAGAAGCGGUAUCUAACCAGGAAGAAACGGCUAACUACGUGCCAGCAGCCGCGGUAAUUC